rnacentral:lncRNA from 1 species
AUGGAUGACGAUUCAAGUGAAGAGGAAGAAGGAUACUUAACAGGUGAUGCUGACACAGAGAAUGCAUAUUCUGAUUGGGGUACAUUUAAGGCCAAUGAGUGGCCUACAUCCCCGGCGUGGGAUGCAACGGCAGUCACCAAUGCAGACUGGGAUGCUUGGGAUGAGUCAGUUUCUUAUCAAAAUUGUCCUUCAUCUCCAAAUGAACAAAUAUCGGAGGAAUUCAAAGUUUCUGCUGUUCUAGAGACCAGUCACGUGGAAACAGUAGAGACAAAUUCUCAGACAUUGACCAGACAAAAUCGUGGACUUGAAGAGUUUCACCAUUUGAGUGAUAAGUCUCUCAAAUCGGACCAUGAACAGGACUCUGCUGGCACAAAACUCAGUGAACUUGAAGUUUCUUCAGUUCCUCAGAUUGACCACAUUGAAAGAGAAGAGAGCAAUCCCAAUAAUCUAACUGGAGAAAACGUGAGUCUUAAAAUAUCUCAUCAAAUAAAUAAUACUUCUAAUACAUUACAAAAUGAAAGAAAUCCUCCAGAAAAGAAAUGUGAUCAACCAGUGAUUUCUCCAGUUUGUGAGCAGAACUGCACCAACAAGGAAGAAACCAAGACUGCUUUGUUGUCUCAAAAUAAGUCUCAGUUUCAGAAAAGUAAUGAACUGUAUGUGUCUAAUACAUUACAACAUGAGGGGAGUACUAAAAAAACAAAACCGCCCGUGCUAUUGAUUGAUCUUGCUCAUAGUGAAGUUGAAUUGACAUGUGAUGUGGCCAAUAACAAUCAAGCAAAUUCGUCUACAGCAGGAAGUGAUGAGAAUAUGAGUACUUCUGAAGGUGUAUGGGUGAUAUCUGAAGAACUCAAGAACAGUAAACCCCACCGAAGAAAGUACAGAAAAUAUAAAAAAAGGAAAAGCUUUGAAUCCGAAGGAUGUGAAAACACUGAUUCAAACUUCUCUGAUGCAAAUUUUCAAAGAAAAAAAAAUACUCGCUCCAAAAGAGGAUCCCUGCAAGGUAGGAGCUCACAUGUGCCAAAUGUGUCUCAAGGGCCGUUGAAGUCAACAACCUCCGAGUUGAAUGAAAAAAUGCCUUACAUUUCAACAGUCGAUUCAUUCUCAAACAAGGAAGGGAAAAGCGUUGACUUAAAAAAUGGAAACCAGAGGGAUUGUAAAGGUGAAACAAGCUCUAAAUCAUCCCUCCUGACCGCAGUGAAAAGAAUUUGA